CCUACGGGAGACAGCAGUGGGGAAUAUUGGGCAAUGGAGGAAACUCUGACCCAGCAAUGCCGCGUGAAUGAAGAAGGUCUUCGGAUUGUAAAGUUCUUUAGUCAGGGAAGAAUAAAAUGACGGUACCUGAAGAAUAAGCUCCGGCUAACCACGUGCCAGCCGCCGCGGUACUACGGAGGGAGCAAGCGUUGUUCGGAAUGACUGGGCGUAAAGGGUGCGUAGGCGGUUAUACAAGUUAGAAGUGAAAUACCCAGGGCUUAACUCGGGGGCGGCUUCUGAAACUUGAAGACUUGGGGGCAGGAGAGGUUAGUGGAAUUACUAGUGUAGCGGUGGAAUGCGUAGAUAUUAGGAGGAACACCAGAGGCGAAGGCGGCUAACUGGACUGUAACUGACGCUGAGGCACGAAAGCGUGGGGAGCAAACAGGAUUAGAUACCCGUGUAGUC
rnacentral:rRNA from 1 species